rnacentral:tRNA from 1 species
AAUUAAAUGGCUGAAAAUUAGGCAAUAAAUUGUAAAUUUAUUUAUAAGAGAAUUAUUCUUUUUAAUUA